rnacentral:lncRNA from 1 species
AGUAGGUAUUUUCGGACAAGUUUCGUAUUUUUGGACCUCGUUUGAACCACGUUUAAGAAUACAAAUAGUGUAUCGACGCAAUCUCGGUGCGGCGCGGCAGCAAUUACGUAGAUCAAUAUUUUUCCUUGGAUCUCAGUGGCAAUUUCUAGUGAACCGACGCGAUGCGUUGGCUAUCGCAUAGAUGCCAACGAUGCAGUGCGUCAUCCUAUGCGUCGACAGUUCGAUUUUGAGUCAUUAAAAGCCGUGUUCUUGGGGGUAUUUGGGUAUUUUUCCCACUCCUAUUCAGCCCUAAAACACGAGAUUCAUCUCUCAUUGAGCAAGAUAUACUUACUUUAUCUCAAAUUGCUCAAGAACAAGAACCCUAGGUGAUUU